GACGUCCAUUCCGCGCUGAAUACACCGGUUGUCGUCCAAUCACCGAAAUUACGCAGCGUCGGGCGGGAUCAGUAAUUGGACGGAUGACCUCCCGGGAACCCCGCGGGAUGUCA